UUUCGCCACAUUAGGUUUCUCCAAAUUCUCCAUAACAAUCAACACUUUUAAAAUUUUACCCCCAUGAUCGCUUCCAUAAGUUUCUACCAUUUCUUCAGACUUCUCUUCUUGACAUCUCAUACGCUUCUCAAUCAAGAAUUCUGAAUACGCUUCUCAAUCAACAAUUCCGAAUUUGAAUUAUGGGUUUGACAUCUCAUACACCUUAUCAAUCAAGAACUUAGAAUUUCAACUUCUCUUGCCAAAAAACGGUUGUUGCUGCCUCCAACCAUCUACAAUCAGUUGAAAUUUGAAGUCUGGACUCCUCUUCUUUUUCUGUUUUCCGACUGUGUGGAUUUGAGAUCUCCUACGGCUUCUCUAUCAAUAAAUUAGGAUUUCAAAUAUGGGUUUGACAUCUCCGACGACGCCUUCUGUUGCCGCCUCCAAUAAUCUACACUCAAUUGCAAUUUCAAUUCUUGUGAUUCAUCAGCAGUUUGUUGAUUUGGUAAAAGGCUUACUUUAGCAUGUCCGCAUAUUGAAGAAUAAAGUGCAAAAGUUCCACCUAUAUAUGUUGUCAAGGAUUUUCAUUAAUGAUAUAAGGAGACUAGGAAUAUCUAUCUAUUGCUGUGACAAAUUCUGGUAUGUUGAAGGCUACGAAUUUCUAUUUGUUUCUAUGACGAAUUAUGGUAUGUCGUAUAAUGUAUCAAUUAUAUUGUGAUUUUCAAUUCAAUUGCUAUUCCUUCUAAUCCUUCCGUGUUUUUGAGCGAUGUCUUCGACUUUGUGGGUUUGACCGUCGGUGCUCAAUUACCACCACAAACAGCAUGUGCUCUUUGUUGUAUUUUUGAAUUUCGAGCCUCUCAACCACCAUCUUUUUCUCCAAGCACUUAGAAUUUGGACUCAAACAAUUACGACUCAUAAGGUAUGUCAAUUGUGAACUCUUUCUUGCUUUCAAUACAUAACAACUUUCUCUAAUCUUUGUGAAUAUGUGCAAAUUCCCAACACCAUCAUAUUAAUUCGUUCUUUCUUUGAUUACAAAAUCUGUGUUUGACGUUUCCACCGUCUUUAUCUUCGAGCACUUACAACUAGGAAUCCAACAAUUCCAAUUAAUAAGGUUUGACGUUUUUGUCGCCAACAAACGGUUCUGCUUUGUAUCCGCCUUCAACCGACUACACUCAAUUACAAUUUGAAUUUCUAGUAAAUGCCUUCUUGUGAUGCCUCCAAAACGACGACAAAUGGCUUCUACUUCCAAUACGAUAGUCCCCCGUCGUUCAUGCAAGAGUUCACUUUUAGAAGAGACACCAAGUUUGCAUGUUUAUUAUGAUUGUGGGAAUUGUUCCAGUGUGUGUAAUUUUGACCACUGACUUUACCGGAACCACUGCAACGUUUUAAAGGGUUGACAAAGAAUGUUUUUGUACAAUGCACAAAACUUCCAUCAACUAAAAAUAUCCGUUUCAUAGUCACCACAACCAAUGAUAUAAAAAGUCCACAACCAACUAUCAAUUCAACUAGAAGACCACCAACUACACCUUCGACAACAAUGGACCAACAAACCACUACAAAUAUGGAGUCCUUCACCCCUACUAAAUCAUGUGAAACAGGAAAAUGCCUCCAAUUAGAACAUCCAGAUACUACACAGAAAACAUCAUGUCCCAAAUGAAUGAAAUACAAAAACCACAGCGAAGUGGACGAAGAAACACAUGACAAAAAGCAGUAAAACUAUAUGAUAUUUUCAAAACAUACAUAGACUUACUUUAAUUCAACACAUUAUCUUUAUAAACACUAAUUUGUAAUUAUUCAGUAAAACUCGGGAUGAACAUAUACAAAAAACCUGUUGUAAUCUUUUGUUGUAUUUAUGAAUUUGUUUGAUAUCAAAUAAUAUUUAAUUUCACUUCAAAAGGACUAAGAGGUUCAACAAGAGCACAUUUGUGUUUAUUUUUUUAUUCGUUGUUUAAAAUGUUUUAUGCACAAAAAAUAGCAAUAUGUUUCCUGUUAUAUCUUUAAACAAUAGCAUGUAUCUUUUUUUCUUAUUAAUUAACUAAUUUCUUCUUAUCUCAUUUGCUUUUUAAAACAUGAAGCUGUGUCCGCCUGUUGGACUUCGGGUUCUAAAAAACCACAUUAUAAGCACCCACAUCCUUUUGAGGUUCUAAUCUGUCAAUCUCUCUAUACAUCUUCAUAUUUUCCAUAGUUUCAGUUUUAUUAUAUAUUUAUAAGCAAAAACAAUUAAAUUUUUAAUGUAGAAAAGGAUCAUUAUAACAUCAAACAAUAACCUGACAGCAAAAUAAAUAGCCAACCUGCAUUUAUCAUUUUGAAAUAAUUUUUGGAGCAUUGUGACACCAAAAAUGGUUCAUAAUGGAUCAUUUCACAGCAUAAAAGAUGUAACGACCAAGCUCACUCCAAAUACAAAAAAAUAUCACAAAAAAGUGACCCGUGGUUUACCACGGGUUCUCUCACUAGUUCUCAUUAAAAAUUAUAAUGAUAAUUAUAAAAGGUAACUAAAUGUUUUUCUAAAUUCCCAAUCUUAGUUACUUUAGGAAAAAUGUGAAUUUGAUGCUAACCCGUGAAAUUGCACAUUGCACAUUAUUGGUCGUUAGUGGAGCGUGUGUGGUUAACCGACAUACUAAUAUGGGACUAAUAAAGGAUGGCAAUGGGUAGCUCGUAGAUUAUCAUAGAUCAAUGGAGCGUGUGUGGUUAACCGACACAUUGAUUAGGUGAUAAAUGACUUCGAGAGUACCAAGCUAAUUUUCAUGGUUAUUCACACCUUGUUUGUGAUCCUCGGUAUCCUAGUCACAAACUUGAAGGCAUAAUCGAGAUUAAACAUGCCAUUGAAAAGUUCAAUGAGUCUCAAAAGAUCUAGGAAUUUCAUCUAAAACUUAAUUCGUUUAAAUUUCGUUUCCGUGGUGGAAUUGGUAAAUUGUCAUUUACCUACCGACAAAUAAUUUGCAAUUGGAUUACAACAUCCCUCUUCUGAAUUGUGAAUUAUUUUGUUGGAUCUUAGCCUUAAUAUUUCAUUUGGGUGUUAUAUUGAGGAUUAAAUCAACCUACUUGAAUUUCUUCCGUUGUAGAUGUCUAGUUCUGACAACUGUGGUCUUCUUUAUCCUUUUGGAAAAAGCUUUCCUAAUGAAUAUGAUAUUUCACAUGGCGAUCGAGGUGAAAGAUCAAUCUCUUUGUUGUGCAUUGGUGGAAGUGGAAAUCAUAAUUCUCUUCCUCCACCUCCUCUCGUGAUUCUCCUCGACCCACAUUUUCAUCGACUUGAAAAGUUCAAGGUCACUCAAGCCCUGUUGGCAAACAAACACGAAGAUGGAAAGUCUGUAUGUGCUCACGUCUUGGAGAUGAAGUUGCAUAUUGACAGGCUGGGAAUGCGGGGUGUUGAUGUCUCGAGGAAGCUGACUAUUGACUUGGUUCUUCAAUCACUUCCUAGGUUAUAUAGUGAGUUCAUUAAAGAUUACUAUAUGACAGACCACGACGUGACCCUUAUCGAUCUUACAUAUUUGCUAAUCGGUGCAGAAUCAGCAAUGAUUUGGCACACUGGUCAAGCAAAUUUGAUUGGAAGAUCAAUCUCCCAAACUUCCAUGGAUAUUGACAAUGGUAACAUUGGAAGUCAAUAAAAGUUUUCACUUCCCAAUGGAAAGGGAUCUGCCAAGGUCAAACCGUUUGACCAAAUGGUAAAGAGAAAGGCUAAGUCUGAGAUUGUCCAGUGUACCAUUCCGAAACAUUCUAUUUGUUUCUAUUGCUAAGAGAAGGGGCAUUGGAUGCGAAGCUGCCAUAUUUACCUGAAAGAUCAGAGGGAUGGUAAAGUCAAAAUGUAUGACUCUACUUCAGGAUCAAAGGAAAUAAAUGAAGUUUAAAGGAAGAGUGAGCUGAGUCUGGUUGCGAAGAGAUGGAUUUCGAUCGCAUGGUUCGAUGAUCAAAUUUUUCAGCCGCUGUUUAGGAGUUAUGAUAGAUUGCUUACGGAUACUUAGUAACAUAGUUUUCAUUUGGAAUUGCGUUGUAAGGACAAGUUUUUCC